AAACAAGCCACAGCAUUCCCUUAAGCCAGAGCCUAAUCCAAAGCAAGGCCCUAACUCUCUUUAAGUCUAGAGAGGCUGAGAAAGAUAAGGA